CAUUACUGAGUUGUCGACACGUGCUGUUGCUGGCCCUCAAGGGCAUGUGCACGCUCUGUUCACACAUCCACUCACACCUGUGCACCCCCCGUAGUUCUAUGGUCUAGAGGACUUGCCGUCCUCUUUCUGUAGUUCUAUGUCUUUACACAUACACCUUAUCGAAGUUUUAUGGAAUGUGCACCGCGUUUAACGCAAUACAAUACAACUUUCAGCAACGGAUCUCUUGGCUCUCGCAUCGAUGAAGAACGCAGCGAAAUGCGAUAAGUAAUGUGAAUUGCAGAAUUCAGUGAAUCAUCGAAUCUUUGAACGCACCUUGCGCCUCUUGGCUAUUCCGAGGGGCAUGCCUGUUUGAGUAUCAUGAACACCUCAACUCUAACGGUUAACCCGUGACGAGCUUGGACUUCUGGAGGUUUUGCUGGCCUGUGGUCGGCUCCUCUCAAAUGGAUCAGCUUACCAGUGUUUGGUGGCGCCAUGGGUGUGAUAACUAUCUACGCUUGUGGCCGUCUGCCAUGUGACCUUCAGUGAUGGGGGUUUGCUGGGGCUCACAAACGUCUCUCCUCAGUGAAGACAGCUUUAUGAAAGUUCG
rnacentral:rRNA from 1 species